CACGCGGGUUGAUGAGAGAACAAACACAACCCGAUCGUCCCGCCAUCAAACACGGCGGUGCACGGCUGAGGGCAGUCUUCAAAGUUCUCUGACCGCAUG
rnacentral:snoRNA from 1 species